rnacentral:rRNA from 1 species
AUACGUAGGUGACAAGCGUUAUCCGGAUUUACUGGGCGUAAAGGGCGUGUAGGCGGUCUUGCAAGUCAGAAGUGAAAUUCCUGAGCUCAACUCGGGCGCUGCUUCUGAAACUGCAGGACUUGAGUGCUGGAGGGGAUAGCGGAAUUCCUAGUGGAGCGGUAAAAUGCGCAGGUAUUAGGAAGAACACCGGUGGCGAAGGCGGUUAUCUGGGCAGUAACUGACGCUGGGGCGCGAAAGCGGUGGGAGCAAUUAGCAUUAGAUACCCGGGUAUUCCACGUCGUAAACGAUGAAUACUAGUUGUAGGGGGUAUCGACUCCCUCUGUGCCUCAGGUAACACAAUAAGUAUUCCGCCUGGGGAGCACGGCCUCAAGGUUGAAACUCAAAUGAAUUGCCGGAG